ensembl:lncRNA
CCGCUCUGCCCUCAGCUGCUGUGUGAGCCGGGGCAAGUCGCUCCAGUUCUCUGAGCCAGGUUUCCCCAUCUGUAAAGCAGGGAUAACAUCAACCCCUUCCUCCCAGGUUGUCCUGAGGGAGGAUUCAGUGGGGUCAGGCCAGGCACACGGUAAGCUCUCCGUGAAUGUUAGCCUCUGUUGGGAGAGUUAAUGUCCCUUCCUCCAGGAAGCCCCUGCCCCCCGACCAGCGUAGCUAAGUAGCUUCCACUGCCGCCCCCACUCCUGCCACUCUGUCACAUUGCCCCAUUGUUUCUGUCAUUGCCCUGGUCACAGUCUGGACUUUUCUGACUUACUUGGUUUGGCACAAGAAUCCCCCACUUGCCCCCCAACCCCUGUGCCCCUUGAAGCAAGAGAUUCCCAGGUGUUUAGUGCUGUGUGACAAGCCACCUUAAAACUGAGUCAGGCCUCUGGGCAGGGCUCAGCUGGGACGGCUCAUCUCGGCUCCAGGCCUUGUUGGAGGAUCCCGAUGGCUUCACCCUCAUGCCGGCCCCGCAGCCAGACCACCGAGCUGUAACGUCAGAAGCAAGCUGUCCUGAAUCCCACAGCCACGAGGAGACGCUUCUGUCAACAAGCUGAGGGAGCUUGGAGGCGGAUCCAGGAUUUUCUUUUUCGAGUUCUGAAGUCUGCACGGAUGCUGCCCUGGAGGAAAAGGAACAUGGUCCCUCUUGUGUCUUGAGAAGACCCUCUGCUGCCUCCUGUGCAGACACACACUUUCCCCACCGCAGAAGCCAGGGCACGAGCCCGAACACGGCUGCAGGGAUCCCACUGUCCUCGCCGAGGCCACGGAGCACCUCCCGGGCACGCGGAGCCUGCCCGGCCUGCAGGCUCCUGCACACUCCCUGUUGUGGCUUAAAGGUCCCCCUGUGCCGUCCGGGGUCUUCCUGUGGAAAGAGAAGAGGAAGCCACCCUAAGAGGGCGUCUCGAGUGCUGCAUGGGGUCCUGGACGUGCAGGUUUAGCACAGCGCCUGGCACAGAGCGAGGAGCGGCGCACGACAGCUAGAAGUCCCUGUGAUUAAUCCUGAGAAAGGAACGUCCCAUCCGAAUCAGAGAGGAGGAGGACAGGCUCGCCACAGACUCGCAUCAGAAGUGGAGGCCUCCCUCCAGACUCUGUGAGAUGCUGGGCCCUGUCAGCACGGCAGGGGGACCCCGACAGGUUUAUAGGGGGGUCGGGUCCUGUUUUCCCCUCGCCUGCAGCCUAGAGAUGGUGGCCGCUGUGGCAGUGCCCAGAGACACCAGCAGAGGGCAGUGACAGCCAACAGAUCGACCAGUGCCCCAGAAAUCCCUGGAGUGGAGAGGGACAGGGGAUUUCCUGGGGCCCCAGGUGACAAGGGCUAAUCUGGUGACAUCUUGACUAUCAGUGUGACCCCAUUUAUACCCACAGGUUGGUGAGAGGUGGCAAGCGCAGGUUCCAUCAGCAGCAUUCAUGAUUCCUAUUUGCAGAAGAAAAAGUGGGACCUAGAAAGGCGUCAGGUUGGGAGGGGGGGACACCAAAAAUGCCUUGAGCGUGGCCCGUGCAGGAGCAGCAUUCGAUGCCCUCCAGGGCAGAGAGUACUCAUCCAGCAGAGCAAAUCUAACCCUUGUACGGGGUGCACAAAGCCCCCAGCCACCGGAAAAGGCCUUGGCCCUGCUCUGUCCCACCCCUGCACCAGCUCUGACCCCGAGGGUCCAGGAGCUCGGGGUGGCCAAGACAGCGGGGCAAGGAGAACGGAAGAGCAGGCUGUCAGCUCUCCAGGGACCAGGUCCCCCCAGCAGCUCUGCAAAGAGCUUCCUCCAUUCCCUCCUGGGCCCUCGUCUUUCUCGCUCUCCAGCGUUCCCCGUGCAACCUACACCCAUGUGCCCCAGAGGCCCAGACCCAGAUGUCCAGCCCCAACCUGGGGGCUGCCACCCAAAUGUCCCCCUGGCCUGAAACUCAGCAUGUCCAGACUGAACUCACCAACUUCGCCCUCCUCGUCCCACCCACGAGGUGCCCACCCCACUGCGCCCAUCCCAUCCCCCAGCCAGCUCUGCCCAGCCAGCUUUUUCUCUCCCCCCUUGGGCCAGCAGAUCUUUGAGGACACAGCCAGCCAGGGACCUCUUCUGUGUCACUUAUUCCACCCACGGGCACACUGGCAUAUUUAGUCAGAUCAUUUUGACUGCUUUUCUGCAGAGGAGAAUUUCCCUUUCUCUUGAACUCCACAACCUUUCAUUUGUUAAAUAUCUGCUGAAUGCCUUAAAAAAUACAGUUUUAUUGAGAUAUAAUGCAUAUACCAUAAACAGAUCAGCCAUUUAAAGUAUACAAUUCAAUGGUUUUUAGUAUUUUUACAGAAUUAUGCAUGAUCACCACAAUCUCAUUUUAGAGCAUUCCCAUCACCCCAAAAAGAAACCCCAUGCCCCUUAGAGGUCACUUUCCAUUCCUCCAGGCCUAAGCGACACUGAUCUCUCCCCCGUCUCUGUGGAUUUUCCUAUGCUGGUCACUUCAUACCAACGGAAUCCUACCAUCUGUGGCCUUUCGUGCCGGCUCCCUUCAUUUACCAUCAUGUGUUUGAGGUUCUGCUUUCAGACACCAGCCCUGUUGACAGCACUGAACUAGUGAGACUUUGCCCUUCGCUCACAAGCUCCCCUCAACGAAUGAAGCAGACGCAGAACAAUGACGACACCACAAAUUCCUUACAACUUUGAUACGGAGGAGUAGGGUGCGCACCAAGGAAUGCGCCAGGUCACUGUGAGGAGCAGCCGGGGAAAGCAACGAGGACGCUGCAGAAUGGGAGGGUGAGUGGGGUUAGCCAGACAAGGAGAGGCAGGAAAGGCAUCCCAAGCAGAGGGAACAGCAUGUGCAAAGGGCCUAAUGUAGGAAGGAAAUAAAAGAAGUCCUCAUGCCUGAAACCCAGAGGAAAGGAACGUGGCCCAGAAUGAGAGCCACAAGAAGUCAGUGGGGCCCGGGGAGCCCUGAAGCCUUCGGUCAGGAGUUUUGCCUUUAUCUGAAGAGCAAUGGGGAGCCAUUGAAAGUUUGAAACAGAGGAGAGAUGUCACCACAACUUUGUUUUGAAAGAUCAUACUGGAGGCAGCAGAGAGACAGGAGAGGGACACUGCAGAGCUGGUGUGGGAACCAAGCAUUUGGUGCCACUGCCUCCGAGAAGGAAGGAUGCUCCAGGAAGCAAAAGAAAACCAGAGUCAGUUCUUGGCUUUUGGGUUUCAAAAGUCUUGUCCUUACAGAGGGGAAGAGAACUCAAGGAGAGCAGAGCUGGAAGCAGCUCUGAUGAAGAGGAAAGCUUCCCAGAAAACUUGCCCUCCCACCUUGUCCAUCCCUGAGAAGGAAAAAAAAAGAAGACAAGACACGCUGGGUGUGACCGUUGAGAGGUGUCAGCAACCUGACCGCCCUGAAGCAGGCCCUGCUGAGUCUGAAGAUCUUUGACAUGAUUCUUUUUGCUCAAAUAAAC